UACAGAGGUCUCGAGCGUUAAUCGGAAUUACUGGGCGUAAAGCGUGCGCAGGCGGUUUUGUAAGCCAGAUGUGAAAUCCCCGGGCUUAACCUGGGAAUGGCAUUUGGGACUGCAAGGCUGGAGUGUGGCAGAGGAGACUGGAAUUCCCGGUGUAGCAGUGAAAUGCGUAGAUAUCGGGAGGAAUACCGAUGGCGAAGGCAGGUCUCUGGGCUGACACUGACGCUCAUGCACGAAAGCGUGGGGAGCAAACAGG
rnacentral:rRNA from 1 species